UUUGAAAUGAUAAGAAGUCCAUAACUAUAGAAGAAUUCACAAAUGUUACAAUUGAAGAAACUAACCUUAUUUUUAUAAUGAAAGUAUAAAGUUUUGUUUGUGCAGGUAUUCUAGAAAAAUCUUAUAAGAAGAUAAAAACAAAAAUAAGAUAGAUUCAACCCAAAGAAUAGACAGCAUCAAAAGAUUUUCAUCUUGACGAAUAUAUAAGAAAAAUCUAUAAAGAGGAAGACAUUCUUAAACAUAUCAAAAUAUUGAAGAUUUUCUUUAAAAACUGUAAAAUACAAAAGGAAAUCUAAAAUUAUACAUCAAUCAAGAUGAAGCAGGCAAGUCGAUAGAAUAAGAAGGAAUCGUGAUAUGAUCAACUUUAUUCCUUAUCUUUUCCAUUUGUUUGACGAGUAUAUUUUUGUCAUCAUUUUAAAUUCGUACGUAUUUACCUUCAUCUUUUACUAAAAGUUCUUCGUCUUGAGAAGGCUAGUAAGUUAAUCCAGAUUUCAUAUAAAUU
rnacentral:lncRNA from 1 species